rnacentral:rRNA from 1 species
GUGGGGAAUCUUCCGCAAUGGACGAAAGUCUGACGGAGCAACGCCGCGUGAGUGAUGAAGGUCUUCGGAUUGUAAAGCUCUGUUAAUCGGGACGAAAGAGCCUAGUGUGAAUAAUGCUAGGAAGUGACGGUACCGGAAUAGAAAGCCACGGCUAACUACGUGCCAGCAGCCGCGGUAAUACGUAGGUGGCAAGCGUUGUCCGGAAUUAUUUGGCGUAAAGCGCGCGCAGGCGGAUCUGCCCGUCUGUCUUAAAAGUUCGGGGCUUAACCCCGUUAUGGGAUGGAAACUACAGAUAGAGAGUAUCGGAGAGGAAAGUGGAAUUCCUAGUGUAGCGGUGAAAUGCGUAGAGAUUAGGAAGAACACCAGUGGCGAAGGCGACUUUCUGGACGAAAACUGACGCUGAGGCGCGAAAGCCAGGGGAGCGAACGGGAUUAGAAACCCUUGUAGUCC